rnacentral:rRNA from 1 species
CAUGCAGGCGGUCGGACGCGUUUUGUGUGACAGCGGGUGGCUUAACUACCCGAGUAUGCGAAAGACGGUUUGACUUGAGGGCUCGAGAGGGACACGGAAUUCCGGGUGGAGUGGUGAAAUGCGUAGAGAUCCGGAGGAACACCGAAGGCGAAGGCAGUGUCCUGGCGAGUGACUGACGCUGAGGUGCGAAAGCUAGGGGAGCAACG